rnacentral:rRNA from 1 species
AGAGAAAUUUGGAUUAAUACCCCAUAAUAUAUUUGAUAAGGCAUCUUAUUAAUAUUAAAGCUUCGGCACUUGAUGAUGGGUGUGCGGCUGAUUAGAUAGUUGGCGGGGUAACGGCCCACCAAGUCUACGAUCAGUAGCUGAUGUGAGAGCAUGAUCAGCCACACGGGCACUGAGACACGGGCCCGAUCCUACGGGAGGCAGCAGUAAGGAAUAUUGGACAAUGGACGAAAGUCUGAUCCAGCCAUGCCCGCGUGAAGGAUUAAGGUCCUCUGGAUUGUAAACUUCUUUAUAUGGGACGAAAAAGGGCAUUCUUGUUCACUUGACGGUACCAUAUGAAUAAGCACCGGCUAACUCCGUG